rnacentral:rRNA from 1 species
UACGGAGGGUGCAAGCGUUGUUCGGAAUCAUUGGGCGUAAAGGGUGCGCAGGCGGCCAAGUGUGUGAGGCGUGAAAGCCCGGGGCUUAACCCCGGAAUUGCACCUCAAACUACAUGGCUAGAGCAUUGGAGAGGGUAGCGGAAUUCACGGUGUAGCAGUGAAAUGCGUAGAUAUCGUGAGGAACACCAGAGGCGAAGGCGGCUACCUGGACAAUUGCUGACGCUCAGGCACGAAAGCGUGGGGAGCAAAAGGG